GCCCGCGCUAGCAAGUCAAAACAAAAUACGAGGAGCGGGAUGGUUGAGGAAAAGGAGGUCGACUGCACAUUUUCGCGGUGGUAUUAUUCUCACUAUUUUCAGUUUGUAAAAGAUAAGGAUGAAAACAUAGUAGUGAAGUCCAAUUUGUGUGAUACAACAAAGGAACUAUCGACCUCACGAAACAGUACAAGUAAUUUAAAAAAACACAUUCAACGAUGUCAUGCUAACAAAAAACUGAAAAAUCCCCUGCUGGAUCAGACAAGAGAACGUUCCCAGGGGGGAGGAGGAGGACACCGCAACUCCUGGAAAAAGUCUGAAACAAAAAACGUUAAAAUUUUGUAAAUCGCCAAAGCUGCUAGACCCACGUAAGGUUAAGAGCACACACUGCCAGACAGGAAAACCUUUGCCAACGAGUUGGAUAAGGCCUAUGCUGCAAUGGAAAUGGAGUUGAAGAAAACAACUGAAGCACAGGAUAGGCGCUGGUGACCGUGGUGUAAGGUGACAGGUGUUCUCCAUCCCCAAUGAUUACUCCCUGGAGUAUUUAAGCAGGAAGCGGCCAGUAUCUCACAGUGUUAGCCAACCGUGUGUUAUGCUGGAGACCACCUGGUUUUUACCCAGACUCGCCUCCGACUGAUUGUUCCUAUUCCUACCUCGCUUCUCGGAUUACAGAAGAUAUUUGAGGGUUUCCAAUGUGCAACCAAGCCGUGAUCUACCGGACAUAUUCAUCAGCUGGCCGCUUCCAAACUUCAACCAUCAAGGACAACUAGAGCGAACCUUGUCCACCCUCCACCACACCCACGCCCGACAAUCAAAACAGACCCUGCAGAGCUGGACGCUGUCCUCCUGGAUCAAGUCACUAGAGGCAAACCUCACACUUGCCCUCAUCAACCUCAGCCGCUUCCAGUUUCCCCACGUACUCUCCUCCUGGCGGUUCACACACCCCAAUCUAUUGACGAGAGUUUCCAGCCGGUACAGACCUAACAUCUACAUUCCUCUAAUAAACCUUAAACUUUUCUGAUUCUCCUGAGUGUUCUCUGCAUGUGGGUCAAAUCUGUGUCUAAAACGAUGACAGAACACUCAAGCCAACUGGACCCAGCAGACACACUCAGGGGAAUUAUGUCUGAUCACUCUCACCAGAUUCAUGCUCACGAUUCCAAUAUCCGUGCCCUGGCCAAACAACAGAGACAAACAAACCUGCAGCUCGAACAGAUACCCGCCAUGUUGCAGCAUUCUCUGAGUAGGGUAACCACCCCAAUACAGAAGGUGCAGUAGCGAAUCCUGAGACACAACAGCUCCCUCACGUCCGUGACGUCUCUUCCCCUAGUCCGGACAAAUAUUCAGUUGAGGCGGGUGAUUGUAGAGGUUUUUUACUACAGUGCUCACUAGUCUUUAACCAUUCUCCACAAUCAUUUCCCCAUGAUGACACCAAGAUUUCCUAUAUUAUUGGUCUGCUAACAGGGAAAGCUCUUAAGUGUGCAGAGUCUCGUUUUCCUAACUGUUCUCAAUUUGGUUGUUCCUUUUCUAACUUUGAAAAGGAGUUUAGAGAGAUAUUUUCUUUUGAGUCUGAACAGGUUACUAGAGGGCGUAAAUUAUGGGCUUUGAAACAGGGUAACGGGCCUGUUACAGAGU